GUCACUUCUUGGUUGGCAAGAUAAAUUCGGGGGUCGGCCGCGCUACACGGUGUAUCUCAUCAUCCUGUCCCUACCACAUCCUCACCCUGAAACCUCCUAUCUUAAGGCGCGAUACGAUGAGGUCAUCGGUUCACAAUGGCUGUGAAAAUGAACAGGCGAACAUUGAAUUAGGGUUAAGGGUUAGUUUUUCCGAGCUCGCCACGGACCCCCACACUAAUUAUAUUGAACCCUCACUAAUUAUAACAAUCAUAAUUUUAUUAAUUUUUUGAAACGUUUUAAAUUACUCUAUCAUAUCUUAACGGGACGCAUUAAGAGCUUUGCGGUUGACUUAUUUCAUUAUGUAAUUUCCAACGUUAGAUGAAAUUUUGAAGUAUUGCAGUUUUCAUGGUCACGUAUGACUGUCGUUAGGUAGAUUCGACAGUUGAAAGUUUUCGAAAAGUAUCAUACGGUAACUUCCUUGCUGUUUACAAGAUGUCCAAACGGUCCGUUUAUCUCUAUGUCCUAAAUUGAAAGUGGAUUUUUAGACGCUUCGCGCGAACACACUUCCUAGGAAAAGGAGACGAUUUUUUUAUGUUUUUUUUUUUGUAUUUAACAAAAUCUUUAAGCGUCAUUUUCACCAGCUUCAAGCUGUCUAAUUAAUUUGAAAAUUUGCAAACGCAUCAAGAAUCGAUGACAAUGCAACAUUUUUAUAAGUUCGCUUUUAUAUCCUGAGCCUUAUCAGUGCAAUCUAUUAAAAACAUUAUGCAUGGUGGUUUACUUUUUAACAUCCAUGUCACUAAUAAUGUAAAUAAAUUUGUUGCAAUCGCUUGUUCCAUGUCAUAUAGGAAGUCGACAGGUUGGUGUGGUAGUCUGGCAAAGCUAGGAGGGGUUGGAUUUACCCGGGCGCCUUCGAUGGUCGAUCUGACAGUCCGAGGGAGGCUACUUCACGAAUGCAUCUACUACCGGAUCGGAAUUGCGACCCCCCGAGACGAUCCGGCGGGAAACUCAGCGGGCUAGUCGCAAUUUAAGAGCGACACAGCCGUUGCUGUAACUAAAAUAUCAUCGGUGUGUGAGUUCGGUGUCUAUGUGCUCUAGUGGUGGACAGUCUUAACCAACCUACAAUGAACUUUUCUCAUUGAAUAUUAGAAUCGCCACACGCUCGAAUUUUGUUGAAUGGGACUUACGUCCGAUAUCAUUCGACCACGUGUACUAUUUUCCUUAUUAUGUGUUUAAUUAUGAAAUGCGGGAUUAUUAGUUUUGAAUAGUCUUCAUUCAUCUGUAUUUAUAAAUAGCGCCAUCGGCAAAAGGAAAAGCGCCAUCUUUUUUUUGUUUUUUUUUUGUUAGUUAGCGAGGAGUAGCGGCUUCGCUGUGGCCCUGACGUUGUUCAUGUCCAUGAGCGCAUGUCCAUAACUGCUUACUAUCAGACGGACCGUAUGCUCGUCUGUCUUCGAAAACAUUAACAAUAAGUGUUCUAAUGUUUAUGAGAAAUUUUGAUUUUUUAAAUUAAUAUAGGUAAACUAGUAAGAAAUGUGAUUUUCAAUGCUAAUGAAGAGCUAUCAACAAAAAAUUCAUCUAUGGCAGAUUUCUAUAAAUGUACAAAUAUUACGUAAAUAUUUGAAUUAAAAAUGGUUGACAGAUUAAUCAAUAUAAUUGUUUUUUUUUUAAUUGCUUAUGGGUAUGGUGGUUGCGUAUAUGAGUAUUGCUAUGCUCCUCGUUACGUGGUUAGCGGAACCCGCAAAAAACCCAAAGGUGAUUGCAAAAAAAAAAAUUUUUUUUGAAAUUAAAAAAAUAAUAAUUUUAUAGCCAAUUAGGAUCUUAAUAAAUUUUUGAAAAUGAGAUUGUGUCGGAACUUGAGACAUGAGCUCAUUCAAUUACGCCAUAAAAACGAUAAUAGUAAUAAAAUUAAAAUGUUGUAUGAUAAUAUAAUCAAGGCAUCAAGGGAAACGAUGUGGCAUUAAAACAUAGAAAUCAAGGAAAAUCCUUUUAUUGUCGUAACAACGUGUCUUAAACUAUCCGGCGUCGCCUGAAAACAAGCCGCCGGGAAUAGUACAAACAUAAUUUAUCGUCUUCAAAAACAAAACACAGCGAUCACUUCAUAUUUACAAAUCCAAAUCAAUUUAACAAUAAAUACUGACACACUCAAUGCUUCUACAUCACAUAUAACGUAUUUACAAAAACAAAACUUGCGUUUUAGUCAGUUGCCUCAGCAGACUAAAUCUCUCAUCGGAAUGUCAUUCCAAUCAUCAUUGUCUAUUUACAUCGUACUACGAUAGAUGGCUAAUAAUCAAAUUAAUAAAUUAAUAAAACCUAAUUCAUAAAUAAAAACAAUUAAGUAACUACGCCGUAAGAAUUAUCUAGUAAUGACUGGAGUAUGUAGGAACUUGGUACCGGACAAACAGAAUUCACUUUCAAGAUAUAUCCUUGGCCGUUGUUGUCUCUUGUAUCGUGCAGGUGCAGCCGACCGGCACCUUCAGGGAAGUGGGCACGUCGUUGAACUGCACUUGCACCCAGUCGUAGAUCUCCACGCACUGCGUGGUGUACUUGUGGUGGUGGCGCUUGCAGCACCCGUGGGUGAUCUGGUGCUCCAGACAGAGCCGGUUCGGGUUCUCGUCGCACUUUAGGAACUUAAUGCGGCGCGGGAUCCGCUCGGGAUUGUCGUCGAUCACCACUUUGAUGGGGCACAUGGUCUUGUUGGCGACGUCGGACAGGAAGGCGAAAUCGAAGGGCUUGGCCGCGACCAGGACUGUGGUCGCUACCACCGCCGUCGCUACGAGUAGACACUGAACACGCGACAUUUUCGAUUUGGUGAUUUUCGUGUACACGUCCGCUCUCGGAAGGGCUGGGCUGCGAACAGUGGGUGUUGGCAGGUAGCACGGCCUUAUUUAUGCUACAGUUCGGAUAAGCUACAUUCUCCCCAGCUGUGUCUUGACAUUCGACAGUCGCGUAUUCCGCCCGCGAUCGGUCGGUCGUGCGUCGCGGCUCUACCGUUUGGGUUUUCCGUGCCGCAUACGUUUACGAUAUUUAAAAAACUAUAAAAAAAAACAACCCAGAUUAUAUAUUCUAUGCCCGUGACGUAAUCCCGUGAAUGUAUGUGUUCGGUGUUUGUUUUACGGAAUGUUUACGGCUUUGUCUAUAUUGUGAUUAUCGAGAUUUUUGGAUCUUCUUGGAUACGUCUGAGUGUAAAUGGAUUAUUUAUAAUGAAAAUGUACAUUGAGAGGACGAAUCGACCGGUGCACGACGCUGUUUGCUUGCAUGUAACGAAUAAUUGCCGUGAAAUGAAACACGUAGUUCGGAGGAGGCCAAUGGCUGCACUGUUGGAUACAACUCUGCUCCGCCGAUUGGUUGACAGGUGGCCAAUAGUUUGUUUACGACGUUUUUUUUAAACGGGGCGUGACUGUCAUUGCUCUCUAAAAAAGUUAUCUAAAUAACGUAGAGUUUGAAAUAGGUCUGGAGUUACAUAAAAACAGAUCACAAAUAUCAAUUGUCGACACUGAUACUUGAUCUCAUUUGUUUUUUAAGAAAAACAUAUUUCAUUAAAUAACUAGAUAUUAUAAAAAUAAUAUAGAUAAGUAUGAUAAAUAAUUUAAUUAAUUUUGUUAAAUAUAAAAUGGUUUCAUGAAAAUUAUCGUUAAAUAAGAUUUCGUAAUUAUUAUAUAAUAUGUGCAAUUUUUUAAUGUAGCUAACAAUUUACGGGGCAAUCUAAGUUAAAAAUUAUUAAAUAAAUUAAUUAAAUGGAAUAAAAUGACCAAUUAAUUAUAUUUUAUUAUUUGUGUUAAAUUGCUUAAAAUUUCAGGAGCAAUGCAAUGUAAAAACCCUUUCACUCGAGACCAUCAAAAAUGUCUGUGCCCACGAAAAAUGCAAAAUAUUCGAAUUGUGAAAUUAAAAUUUGAGCAAAAUAUUAUUCAAAAUAUGCAAUCUUACGGUGAAAACUGAAAACUAUUUAAGAUAAACUUUGAGAUAACAGUACCUAUACGACCAAACUAUCACUCACACAAGAGCGACUACACACGAAAGACGCCUCACACACUCAGACACACAACACACAUAUCCACACACGCUACAACACAUAAAUACAAUAUAUGUGGAACUUGUUCUUCUUCUUUUUUGAAGUAUGGCAAAUAGUUUCUUGCAGCGUCAUUGUUGCCAGUGUCGAAAUUUUAAAAAUCUUUAAAUUCAAUUAUUAAAUACAUAGGUAUAUAUUGUUAUACAAAAAUGAAUGAAGUGAAAUGACAUGAAGUUGGUUAAAUCGAGACCUUAAAUGAUUGGGAUGACAUAAAUUCUAAGUAAAAUGGUGGUUAUUUACUGAGACCACUUCAGUGGACUUUUUGGGAGAGCCCGAGAAGCUAAGUCCAGCGGCUUUGUUUCAUUUUCCCACAUUUGUACACUUUCACAGAUAAUAAAAACUUAGUGAAUAAACCACAUUUAUUUCACAUUUAAACCUGGAGAUACACUGUAUUAACAAAAUAAAACAAUUCAUACAACAUCGCUACUCGCGCUUCCGCAAGAAAGUCCGAUGUGUAAUAUAUAUUAUAGAUAUAGGCAGGGUAGUACCUAACAGAGCAAACUUAUAGUACGAUCUACUAGACUAAGACUGCUAGACUAAUCUUACAAAAAGUUAUGGCGCUUAAGACAUAUUUCAAGUAUACAUAAUAACACGGGAAAUUUGUCCAAAAAUGAAGAUUAUUGGUAGCGCUGGUAAUUAAGGACACCAUUAAAUCGAUAAAUGAUAUAUUAUAUAGGUUUUUUCACUGAUGGUAACAUUAAUCACACGUGUGAGAUUAAAAGUCAAGUGACGCAGGGCUGCUAUCACCGGCGGCCUUCAUUUGAGGUUGCUUUCGCGAUAUGCGAUUAGCUGAUAGUGUUUUCUUUAAUUUUUGCUUGUCUUAGACAUUAUUAAAAGGAAUUUUACGGAGUGACCACGAAAAAAAAAAUAAAGUAUUCGGAAAGUCAAGGAUAAUAAAACGAAGAAAUCGUAAAAGUAGUUUUAAUUAUAAAUAGCUUAGCGAAUAUUUUUAGCGAUAUUAGUAGCGAGUGAGUAUAUUUUAUCUACUACUAAGGAGUAAUGUAGCAACACUGUUUUCUUUCGGUUCAGUUUUUCGUUUUUCGAUUGCGGUGCAAGUCAACAAACACCCACUUGGUAUUGGGUCCAAAAAAACAAAAACACCCUGUUUGUAUACAUAUUUUUUUCUAAGAACACAAAAUGACAAUACAAUACAAGGGCAAAAAAAAGAAAACAUAUUUGCUGUGAACGUGCGGUGUUACGAUGCUCUGUCAAACAACGUCAAUGUUUUGAUUUUAUUUAAGUUCUAAUCUAUACUAAUAUUAUAAAAAGGAAAGAUUUGUUUGUUUGUUUGUAUUGAAUAGGCUCCGAAACUACUGAACCGAUUUGAAAAAUUCUUUCACUGUUUGGAAGCUACACUAUCCCCGGGUGACAUAGGCUAUAUUUUUUUUUAUAAAAAUAAUAAAAAAUAGAUAAAAAAAGUAUCAUUUAAAUGAUAAAUAAAAGUUCAUUAAAAUAAUAAUAUUCAAACUAUCUUUAUAAUUUUCUUUUUUUAGUAACCUGACGCAAAUACAAGAGUUGAUGUGUAUGUGUAUGUGUAUUAUAAUUUUUUAUUUUGAAAUUUUUGUUAAGACCCGAGCGAAGCCGGAGCGGGCCGCUAGUACCUAAUAAAUUUGAUCUGAAUAUUUUUCUUUAAAAACUUUACACUUCCACAUGUUUAUUAAUGCAAAUUCAUAGCUUGAAAUACAUUAUAUUAACUAGUUUUACGAUGAACGUAGUCAAGUUCGUUUCGGAUUUAAUAAAAAAAAAACAAGUUUUUGAUUAAAUCACAACUACAUACUUUUACGGUUUGAUUUCUCGUUUUUUAUUGUCAUUAUUACAUCGAGCGAUGAAAAGUUGUUUGGUUUAAACGAAUAUUUUUCAACUUUACGGGAGAGCCCUUUAGAGUUUAAAAUUUGGAAAAAUAUCAUAACAAAAAAAAAUUUCUUCAGAGCUAUUUAAUGUUUACCAACCUUUUUUUUUAUUGCUUAGAUGGGUGGACGAGCUCGCAGCCCACCUGAUGUUAAGUGGUUACUGGAGCCCAUAGACAUGUACAACGCAAAUGCGCCACCCACCUUGAGAUAUGAGUUCUAAGGUCUCAGUAUAGUUACAACUUAAUUGAAGUUCAAUUAAAAACAUUGAAUUGUUGAUUCGAAUACCAAACAAAACGACCUUUGAUUACAAAGAUAAAUGUCUCGUAUUAAGUGGAAUGUUGCUUAAGCCAAAUAGCUCAGAAAGGCGUGGAUGAGAGAGGUGGGCGAUUGAACAUUAUGCCAUAAAAAAAGUGGUGGCUAAUGCCCAGCAAUGGGUAUGAAAGGGCUAAAAAUCUUUAAAGAAAUAAUAAACGAGAUAUUAAACCGUAAAAGUGGUGUCAAUUAAGUUUAUGAAUAGCAAAAACCGAUGGUAAUACUAUCUUAUCACCAGUUGAAACUGUUCAUAACACGUUUAUUCAGAAAGCUCAUGAUGUGCUUUUAAAACUCAUUAAUUAAAUCAGUGUUUGGAGAACAACAAUCAAGUGUCGCCCGCAUGUGGCUCAUAAUAUGUGCGAACUUGUUCACACGUAAUCGGAAAAUUUCUUGUUUGAACAUGAUUCUGUGAAGAUGUGUCAUCAAGAGCUUUGACCACUGCACUGCUUUAGAAAUUAUUUGCACAAGAUUUACUGGUAGGUAUUACUGAUAUUACUGGUGGUAGGACCUCUUGUGAGUCCGCGCGGGUAAGUACCACCGCCCUGCCUAUUUCUGCCGUGAAGCAGUAAUGCGUUUCGGUUUGAAGGGUGGGGCAGCCGUUGUAACUAUACUUGAGACCUUAGAACUUAUAUCUCAAGAUGGAUGGCGCAUUUACGUUGUAGAUGUCUAUGGGCUCCAGUAACCACUUAACACCAGGUGGGCUGUGACCUCGUCCACCCAUUUAGGCAAUAAAAAAAAAAAGAUUCCCUUAUUUAGUUUAGCAGACGAAGCCGUCACAUAAAAUGCAUGUGUUUCGGUAAACUCGACGUAACCACAUAACACAAGUUACACUGUUUACUAUUUAUAAACCUGGUGCAAACCCUGUUUAUGUCUCUUUCAUCGAAAGCAGGCCUCAAACGCGAGCGAAAGAGAUGAAAUACCGUGUAUGUUAGGGCAGGUAGACGCUGCGAUUAUUAAUCACGAGUUGUUUUAAAUACCAAUAAAUACAUACUGAACUUCAUCCUUUGCAUUGGCAUUUAGUUUGUAAUGCGUUAGAAGGAGACAAAACUCAGUGAAAGGUUAACACAAGUCUGGUCCUGCCUUAAUAUACAAUAUAUUCCGGCUCUAAUGUAACGAACUUGACCCCACUGCGUCCUUGUCGGAUCAUUGCGAAUUCAGCGCGACCGCGUGAUAAUCUAUGGCGGAGUUAUUAAUGUCGCAUCGUUGAAAAACACUGACGAUCUAUUUAAGUUUGCAACUCAUUUGUACAUAGAGUGCGUAAAUAAAAACAAACUCAAUCCAUUAAAAAUAAAUUUCGUUUCGAAUUGUGCAUAAUAAAUACAUUAAUAAAUUGAUUUACCUCUGAAUUCACAUGCCGUAUUGAUUAUUGAAUUUUCAACCUAACCUAAUGAUAACCGAACAUAACGUAAAUACUUCGUAAUAUUGGCUAUUUAUUCUAUUCUAUCAGCGAGUGUUGUAUUAUUAGAUUUAGUGGGAUAAUAAUGUUCGACGUUUCAAAAUAAAAUAGCUUGACGUUGCUUUUAAUAAUGAAUGAUUUUAGUUUUCACACAAUAUUUUGUACUUUGGGUGUAUAAGAUUAAAGAAAAUGCUUUUUCAUAACGAGAGACACACGGGUUUGGGCGGUGAGCGAACAAACAUUCAAACACCCAGAAAUUCGAUUGAAGUCAGUUUUUUCAGAGCCUCCCAAAUUGAAAUAAGUCGUUGCAAAAUCUUACUACAACUUUUAUUACACAUAUACUUAAAAGUCGCCCAAAACACGUCAUUACGGAUCCUCCCGAUCCAUUAACGGUGCUUUUAGGUACCACAAGCACCGGUCACCGUCCCCGACGAACCCGUCGCUUGCGACGAGGAGCUCGACGAGCGAAUUAACCCAUAGACACAGCCCACUGAGUUUUUCGCCGGAUCCUCUCAGUGAGUCGCGUUUCCGAUCCGGUGGUAGAUUCUGCGAAGCACUACUCUUACUAGUGCCAGUGUUAACAAAACUUCCGGUUUGAGGCCCGUGAGCUCACCUACAUGUUAGGGCGAAGUUGAAAUAGCCUUUCAAGGCUAUCAGCAUAGGUAGGGAAAAAAAUAUACAUAUACUUGUAUUAGAACUAAUCUUUUUUAUUUCCAAUAGGAAAUUUCGUAAUACUUUUUUUAAAUCUUUUGUGGAGUUUUGUUUUAACAUUUAACUCUCUAGAAUAAAUGAAUGAAAUGAAUGAAUGAAACUGAGCCUAAUGAAAAAGACUCUCAAUUCAACUAUCUAAUCUAAUCUAUUGUUAAUUGUCGCCAAAAUUCAACAAAUUCUAGUGGGAGCAUGCCAGUCUUUUGAAGCGUAGUUGGGAGUUUUUACCCCACGUCGAGAAAGGCCGGACUUUUUAUUUAACUAAGCCAUUCGUCUAAUUUACCUAACUAUUUAUGAUAAAAUGUUGCAUGCACCCUUGUCUUUAUUAUUAAUGGUUCAUGUUCUGUUGCGUUACGAAUCCACGUAGCGCCUAACAAUUCAUAUAAUGUUGUAAUUCUUUUUAUUCUGACCGUAAUAUAAUGUAAUAGAUUCAUCAAUUAAUAUACGCAUAGAAAUAUAGCCAUAGAAUAAUAAAGUACAAAUGUAUCAUGUAUCGCUCUAUUAUUAAAAAAUUGUUUAUCUGUGAAAUCGGUUUACGGACGAUAGUUUUACGUGAUAACGUCUUAAAGAAACGUUCAUGAAAAAUUGCAUACUUUUAUGAAUUGAACUGAAUUAUUUGUCACUGAGUGAUCAUUAUUUGGUAUAAUACAAAGAAGAAGGUUAUUCAAAAUUAUUAUUUUUUCGAUAAUUUAACUCUUGGGCCGAUCGUGCCUCUCUAUCGCUUGUUCCGCUUUCUCGCUUGCCCGCUCCGGGUCAGGCGGAACGUGACACAUUUUCGUGCAUGCAGCCGGUGUUCAUCAAUUUAUAUGACGUUAUCACGUCAAAAACAUCUCUUCCGGCACACUAAUAUAUGAAUGUAUAGUAUAAGAAUUUUUUUUUUUAAAUUUGGAAAGGUUAUGGAAAAUGAUAUAAACCCAUAUAAGUGUGGCGGGUAGCCAUUAUACAACACAAGAUAUUUGACAAAUGCCAGAAUCUCGCUUAGGACAUUUUAAGGCCUAGGCCGCACUACGGUUUUUUCCCGGGAGCGGUUAACCGCUGUAACCGCGAAACCGCUUAAUACGCACAACUACUACAAUUAUUAACCGCGAAUUCGCCCGCGAUUUUCACAGUUUGAAGAUGGAUAAAUUUCAAAAGAGCAGUAGCAGUGUGGUUCUGGUACUAAGAAAUAGAUAAAAAGACAACGAAAAUUUUACAAAUGUUGGGUCUCUCCGCUUACUAGCCGUAGAUUUGAGAAAGGUUUCUUUCAUAAGAAAUAUCAAAAUUUAAGAAAACCCCUAGAGAAUUUUUUCAAUUAGGUACUAUUACGCAUUACUGUUAAGCAUAGUGCGUGCACGGAUACCUAGUUCUAUGGAUUACAAAUUUUCUUGCGGUUUUUUUCCGCGACAACUUUGUAACAUUUCACGGUUUUAAAAUCAGUCGCGGGAAAAAACCGCAAGUGCGGCCGCUUGUAUUCGUUUUCGUGUUUCAUAAACUCACACGGUUAUCAACCGCUGCGGUUUCACCGUAGUGCGGCCUAGGCCUUAAGAUAAGCUUGCGUAUAUACAAGUUCCGAACAAUAUCAUUCGGACCGUCGGUCUACCGAGCAAUAUCACCCGCUCGGUGGGAGAUCUUCCCUUUGUCAUAUAUCCCCACACUAGCGAGAUACAGGCAUGUGUCAAAUAUCUUAUAUUUUAUGAUGUUAUAUUGUAUUGUAAUUAUGGCUUAUGUUGUAUGAUGGCUACCCGCCACAUAAGUAUGCUAUUUAAAAAGCCGGCAUGUAAUAUUAAAUGUUAACGUAGCAAAACCUUACGCGUAAAACCAUAUAUCAAUAGACAAUGCACUCGAAUACUAAUAUACAUUAUUUAAUCAAUAAAUGUAUUAAAAUAUAGGAUGGAAUUAAUCCUUGUUAACGAGUGUUAUUCAAAUGUUAUUAAAAUAAACUGUAUUUAUAACAAUGUUUUUUUUUACGAAUUAAUCAUCAAAUAAUUGUAUUUUGUUUUAAAUAAACAUUUUAAAUAUGAA